GCUAACUUCGUGCCAGCAGCCGCGGUAAUACGAAGGGUGCAAGCGUUACUCGGAAUUACUGGGCGUAAAGCGUGCGUAGGUGGUUCGUUAAGUCUGCCGUGAAAGCCCCGGGCUCAACCUGGGAAUGGCGGUGGAUACUGGCGGACUAGAGUGCGGUAGAGGGUGGUGGAAUUCCCGGUGUAGCAGUGAAAUGCGUAGAGAUCGGGAGGAACAUCUGUGGCGAAGGCGGCCACCUGGACCAGCACUGACACUGAGGCACGAAAGCGUGGGGAGCAAACAGGAUUAGAUACCCCUGUAGUC
rnacentral:rRNA from 1 species